rnacentral:lncRNA from 1 species
UUAGAAAAAUAGAAUGUGCUAAGCAGGAAAUGAUAGUAAAUUUAAAGUUGCUUAAAGCUGUUGCUGAGUACUCUAUGCCCUACUGUCAGAAGGGUCAGAGUAUGCAGCAGUGGCAGUGACUUGGCCGGCCUGGCCUGGCUGAUGGAGGUAACAGAAGGACUAAUUUCAGGGAUUGGAUUCAGUGUUCCUUCAGAUCUCUCAGCUUAAAGAUGAUUUCUAUUUUAUUGAGAACUUCUUGAACCACACAGAUAUGGGAAGCUCAAAGUCUUAUGCGUCCACACCUGAAUUCUUAAAGGAAACAGAAGAAGAUACACCUUCAACUUUGUCUCCAUCUUCCCAAAAUUAUGCACCAGAUUCACACCCGAUUCAUCUGGAUCGUCAGACACAAGCCAUGGAGCCAGAGACAGUGGAAGAGAAGCACAAAAUAAACAUCCCUUUCAUAAAGAAACUUACAGACCUCCAAGUCUUUUUCUAUGAUGCUGACAAAAAUGCAAAUGGAUACCUGACAUUUACUGAGAUAGAAAAGGUCCUGGGAGAAGAUGCACCUCAGAAAGAGGAAUUGGAAGAAUUUGAUGAUGAUAACAAUAAGAUGUACUCCUACCUUGAAUUGAGAAAAGCCCUUGAGCUGACAGAAUAACUGAGAAGACUAAUUGCAAGGCUGAGAGAUGCACACAAUGUUCUGGAUCUUUAUUUUAUUUUACAGGAAAGAAAAUCAUGUACAGGUUUAUUUUUUAAUUGGUCAUUCUUUUGGAACAGCAAAAAUCAAUUAUAUACAGAUAAAAUGCCCCUUAUUCCAAUAGGCACACCAUAUUUACCAUAGUAGC